UACGUAGGGUGCGAGCGUUAAUCGGAAUUACUGGGCGUAAAGCGUGCGCAGGCGGUUCUGAAAGUCAGCUGUGAAAGCCCCGGGCUUAACCUGGGAAUGGCGGUUGAAACUACAGGACUAGAAUCUGGCAGAGGGGGGUGGAAUUCCACGUGUAGCAGUGAAAUGCGCAGAUAUCAGGAGGAACACCAGUGGCGAAGGCGGCUCACUGGCCCGGUACUGACGCUGAGGCGCGAAGCGUGGGGAGCAAACAGG
rnacentral:rRNA from 1 species